UUGCUUUUUCUUUUGCCAUACGGUAUAAUUAACCCAAGUAUAAUAUAUCCAAAAGCCCCGCCUGCCAGCUCGGCUUUUUUUAUUUU
rnacentral:misc_RNA from 1 species